rnacentral:lncRNA from 10 species
AAACAACAUUUAAUGAUAUCAUAAGGUGUGUUUGGCGGAACUGUAAGUUCCUUAAAGAAAAGCUUCCUACCCCACACACCUUGGGGUAUCCACAGCAGAGCUGGAUAGAUUAUAUGUCUGGGUUACAAAAUAUUGUUUUGAGGCUUGAAGAGGGGUUCUGUUUUGAAACAACGCUGAUAUUUAAGUCUCUAUUUCAGGGUACCCUCUCUGUUCUUCUCAGAGAUAAUUCUUUUCAUAAUUCAAUAAAAAGGGGAAAAAUUGCUAAUAUUUAAAGAGAGUUUACAGUUGCCAGGUAAAAUACUAAACAUUCCAUGUAAGUUAUGACAUAAUCACAAUAACCUUAUAACUGGGGUGUGGUUAUUGGUUCCAUUUAUCUUGGGGUUGCAAAAUAGAUGUUUUUAAUGUUGUCCACUUUCUUACCUAGUAAAGAAAAGGUAAUUAUUACCAUAAAAGGAGAGUAAGAAGGAAAUAUUGACUGUGAAGAGGCAUAAGGGCUUCAGGGUUUCAUGUCUUCAGCAUGAUGCUUCUUGACCCAGGUAGUUGGUUGGGGGAGGGGAAAAUGAGGAAAUGUUGAUCAAAGAGCACACCAUGUCUUAGUUAUGAAAGAUGAACAAGUUCUGGAGAUCCAAUAUACAACACCAUGACUAUAGUUAACAAUACUGUAUUGUAUAUUUGGAAUUUGCUAAGACGGUAGAAUUUUUUUUUUUUUUUUUUUUUUUUUUUUUUGAGACAGAGUCUCACUCUGUCACCCAGGCUGGAGUGCAGUGGCACAAUCUCGGUUCACUGCAAGCUCCGCCUCCCAGGUUCACGCCAUUCUCCUGCCUCAGCCUCCCGAGUAGCUGGGACUACAGGCGCCGGCCACCACGGCCGGCUAGUUUUUUGUAUUUUUAGUAGAGAUGGGGUUUCACCGUGUUAGCCAGGAUGGUCUCGAUCUCCUGACCUCGUGAUCCACCCGCCUCGGCCUCCCAAAGUGCUGGGAUUACAGGCGCUAGCCACCACACCUGGCCAAGAGGGUAGAUCUUAAGUGUUCUUGCACAUACACAGACAAAAUAAAAAGGAAAUGAUAACUAUGUCAGGUAUUGGAUAUGUUCAUUAGCUUGAUUAUGGGGAUUAUUUCACAAUGUGUAUGUAUGUCAAAACAUUAAUUUAUAUACCUUAAAUAUAUACAGAUUUACUUGUAAAUUGUACCUCAAUAAAGCUGGGGGGAAAAAACACGCAACUUGCUUUUGGCUAUCUACUUCGAAAAAUCUGAAUCAUCUGAUGCUAUAAAUGGUAUGUCUUCCAACUUAUCUUGGUGUGAUAUUUAUUUCUAUGAAUUCUUGGGAGAAACUUUUAAUUAAGCUUCAUGUUUCAUUUAUUCAUGUAAUUAAAAUUCACCCAAUCGAAUGCAAACUUUUAUUCACAUUACAUGGAGCACAGUGAUUGUGAUUCUUCUAUCUGAAUUAUCUGGUGACUUAUUUUACUUUUUAGUUCAGGAUACGAAUUCUUUCAGUCUUUAGAUCUGUUCCCAUUGUUUUGACUUCCUCAGAAGUAAUGAACAUGUUUAUCGUAUAUCUGUUAUUACUCCUUUCUUUUCCAUCUUCUAUCAUAAUAAUAUCAUUUAUUUCUCAAUUUCUAUCAAAUCUAAGACUUCUCAAAUAUACACUCCACAUUAUUGUAUCUGUUUCCAUACCAUCAGUUCCUUCCUUUACUGCCUCUGGCACAAAUUUUGUUUCUAGCAUUAUCCUUUUAAUUUUCUCAUAAUCAUUCCUUGCUCUCACCUACCUUUUUAAAAUUUCUGUCAUUUGCUCUCUAUAUGUUACACCUUUAUUGCCUUCAACUACAGGAGUAAGAAUGCCAUGUUUUGAUGCAUUCUACUUAAGGUUUUAAAAUAUUUUUUGUUUUCCUAAUAAAUAAUCUUUAUACAUAAGCUCUUCAUCCCAAUAUUCAAGAUACUCUUUCCUUUCCUGGACUAUGCAGUAAUUGUCAUAGGCUCCAUGUUGGUUUUUUCUCCUUUCUGGGUAAAAGACUAUCUUCCUAGAUCUACAUUUGCUAAAAAUCAGGGUAUGUGAAAUUCCCCCCUUGUCGCUGGAUUGCUGGAGGUCCAACUGUAUAGCAGCUUUAUGCAACCAUUUCAAGACUUUCCCUAACUCCAUUGUUUUAAUAUAAAUUAUGCUGAAAUCUUUAGCAUGCACUGCUAUCAUUGUUUUUCCUGAGUCAAUCCUGCAUGCUUUGCUUGAAGGUUUUUGACCCCCAAAAUACAGUGUGCCCAUCAUGAACCUUUACCCUCUCCACGUACUUCAUGCAGUUGUACUUUUGCAGUCUGUAGCCUUUUGCUAAAUGCUUAAAAAGAAGGAAUACAGGUGUGGUUUGGAGAUGGAGUUGGAAUAUGGGAGAAAAGCAGGGGGUGACAGAGAAUAGCUCUCUAGGUAUCUCAAAAAAAUGCAUGUACAGUGGAGAGAGAAAUAUCUGUUUAGUAGAGAGCUUGUAUUUGUAAACAAGAGUGCAGAGAGUGCAUGAGGGAGGGAGGGGUUUUCUAACUACAUUGGAGUGAGGAGAUUUCUCAUGAGCUUGGAAAAUGGACGCUCAAUUACACUUUUCAAUCUAGGUCAAUCAACCUAAUAGUAGAAAUUCCUUCUAGAUUUCACAAUAGGUUUACUGUCAGUCUUAAUUUAGCCUGUUGUGAGUUACUUUAAUAGUACAGACAUACCUCAUCUUAUUGUGCUUCACUUUAUUGCACUUCCUAGAUACUGUGUGUUUUUUUUUACAAACUGAAGGUUUUUGUUGACCCUGCAUUGAGAAAGUUCAUUGGUGCCAUUUUUUUCCCAACAGGUUUUGGGAUGCCGCAAACCUCACCCAUAAAAGACGGUGAACUUAAAUUGAUAAAUGUGUGUAUUCUGACUGCUCUGCCAGCUGGCCAUUUCCCUGUUUCUCUUUCGAACUCCUGGCCUCUAGUGAUCCUCCCACCUGGACCUCCCAGUGUUGGGAUUAGAGGUGUGAGCUACUGUGCCCAGCCUCAAAUAAUAUUUUUUUUAAAAGAUUAGCUUGAUCUCUUUUAAUUACCUGAAAGCAAACUGAUUAGUAACCUUAAUUACAUUUUGUCAUUUAAUAGAAAAUAAUAAUAGGAUUGAUAUACUAUCGACAGCACAAGUUCUGCCCACAUUUUAUAAGGAGGGAAUUAUACAAGGAAAAGGGUUAUUGGGGGUCAUUGUGGAAUUCUGCCCACCACAGAGGGUAUUCUCAGCUGCUCACAUGGAGAAUGGAGGAAUAAUUGGAUGUGUAUGUUAGGGGAGGUAAGGACACUUGAGAAGGAAGGUAAUUUGGCAUAAGGGAAUUUUCUAAACCAGUUUAUUAUGAACUACGAUGGACAAAAAUGUAUAAAAUAUAAGUACAACCGAAUGAAUUAUUAUAAAUUACCAAAAACUUCAAAACAGGUAAUAGCCCACAACUCAGAAAACUUCCAUAUGCUCCUUUUAAUAAUAAACUCUUUUUCCCCUAAAACAUCACUAUCUUGACGUUUAUGUUAAUCACUUCUCUGCUUUUCCUUAUUAUUUCACUAAGUGGUAUGCAUGCAUAGUAACUAUGGUUUAAUUUUAUUGCUUUUCUUUUUAAGCUUUAUCUUAGUUUUAAAUGGAUAAAUAAUAAUUGUAUAUACUUAUGGAGUACAAUAUGAUGUUUGGAUAUAUGUAUUCAUUGUGAAAUGAUAAAAUCAGGCUAACAUAUUCCAUUUUGUUACUUUUUAAAUGUCUAUAAAUAAAAUUAUACUUUAUUUAUUCAUUGCACCUGACUUUUUUCUAUCAACGUCAUAUCCAGAAUAUCAAUUUAUGCUAUUGCAUGUGGCUAUCACCAUGUUCAUUGUAUUGCAACAUAAUAUUUCAUUAUACAGGUAUAUUACAAAUUAUCUAUCCAUUCUACCACUUACCACUGAUGGGCAUUUGAGUUAUUUUAAAACUAAUACUAUAAAUGUUCUUACAAAUGGCUCAGGGACAUUAUGCACAUAUUUCUCAAGUUUUUACCAGCGAGAAUUUCUAUGGCAUAGGAUAUGCCUUUGUUGAAAUUUAGCGGUUAUUGCCAAUCCAUAUUCUAAAUUGGUUGACUCAAAUUAUGCUCCCAAUGGGAUGUGAGGGUCGUUUUGUGCGAUACCCUCACCAAUAGUUGGUUUUGUUAGUUUUGUUUUUAUUUGUAUUUUUAAACCAACUCAACAGAUCUAUCUUACUGUAUUUUUAGUUUAUUUUAUUGACUAAAAAUAAGGUUGAGAAACUUAUCAUAUGGUUAUUAGCCAUUCGAAUUUUAUUUUUUGUUAAGUGCCUCUCAAAUCCUUUGCUCAUUUUUUCUAUUGUGCUGAUUGUCUUCUCACUGAUUUGGAACACGUGUUUAUAUAUCCUAGCUAUAAACUGUUUGUCAUAUGUAUAAGUACUAUAUUUACACCCAUAUCAAUGUAUAUACACAUAUAUAUUAUGUAUGUAGUUUAUGGAGGUAAAAUUCCAACAUAAAAUUAACCAUUUUAAAGUGAACAGCUCUUGUGUUAAUUAGCUUAAUUGAAUCUUUCUAUAAUGUAUACAACAAUCAAAACUUUCCAUUUUACCCCAUAAAUAUACACAAUUAUUAUUUGCCAAUUAAAAAUUCAAGGAAAGAUUUAAAUAAUAGCAACAAUAAAAGUAAUGCUUAAAUACUUUGAUUAGGUAUAUACGUUAGUUUCCUGAUCUAGGGUAUAAUCUCUUUUACUUAAGAGAGCAUGUCAUAUGACUACAAUCCCAUUAUUAUGCUGGCCACAGAGGAA